rnacentral:rRNA from 1 species
AGUGAACGCUGGCGGUAGGCCUAACACAUGCAAGUCGAACGGCAGCACAGUAAGAGCUUGCUCUUACGGGUGGCGAGUGGCGGACGGGUGAGGAAUACAUCGGAAUCUACUUUUUCGUGGGGGAUAACGUAGGGAAACUUACGCUAAUACCGCAUACGACCUACGGGUGAAAGCAGUGGAUCUUCGGACCUUGCGCGAUUGAAUGAGCCGAUGUCGGAUUUGCUAGUUGGCGGGGUAAAGGCCCACCAAGGCGACGAUCCGUAGCUGGUCUGAGAGGAUGAUCAGCCACACUGGAACUGAGACACGGUCCAGACUCCUACGAGAGGCAGCAGUGGGGAAUAUUGGACAAUGGGCGCAAGCCUGAUCCAGCCAUACCGCGUGGGUGAAGAAGGCCUUCGGGUUGUAAAGCCCUUUUGUUGGGAAAGAAAAGCAGCAGGUUAAUACCCCGCUGUUCUGACGGUACCCAAAGAAUAAGCACCGGCUAACUUCGUG